rnacentral:rRNA from 1 species
AGGGUUUUUCGCAUCGGGCUCACCCUCGACCCCGCAACGCCGCGUGGUGAGGAAGGCUUCGGGUCUAAACCUCUUUUGGCGGGACGAAAACUCCCGUGCUAAAUAUCGAGGAGCGGCCAAUUCCCUUCUAGCAGCCCCCGUGAUAACUUCCUACCGGGGGGUAAUAAUAUAA